UGCAAACCAGAAAGGCCAGUCCGCUGCACCAACUGAGGUGACAGAGAGAAAGAAACAAACUUGGAGUACACAGGGAGGACCCAUGCAGACAUGAAGAGGACAUGCAAACUCCACCAGAUGGUGGAUUCGAACUCAAGCUCUUCUUUCUGUGAAGCAACAGUGCCAACCACUGCGACACCGUGUUGCCACGUCUCCUUUUGGGAGGAUGCUGGGAAUCCUUUGGGCUUGAGCGCAGCUGCUGAGGCACAAACCAGCAAGGAUAACAAGCAGAAUGUUCAGUGAAUGAUGAUGCCAUCUUGGCAGAAGCACAGGUCGUCUUGGCUUGCUAUACCGGAAACCAGCAUUGCUUGAGCUGUCUGCUGAGCAGAAAACACUUCACCCCGUGCCUCUCCCUGAGUCCUUGGACCAUCACAGAGUGAAAUGCCCAUUGUUUUGUUUAUACAAUAUCAGAGGUGCUGGCACUUUAAUCUCAAUAAAGAGGGCCAUUGGACUGAAUUAUCUGUAUGAUUGCCCUUUAGAACUGCUGUCAAUGCUAUUCUCCUUAUCCUGCUUCUCAAAGCCUCUCUCCCAGCAAGAAGUCUAUGUGAGAGGAAUACAAUGCAGGCAGUUCAGACGCCACAAAAGGGCAUUGCAUUAGAAAGCUAUACCUCUGCUGUGUGACCUUUGGCUAUGCUGGGGAGGUCGGUUGAAUCCCUGUGGACACCCAGUCAGCUCCAGUCAAGGGAACAGAAUAGAUUCUAAAUCUGUGAUUCAAGGUGCACACGUCAGCAGGCGCCU